UACGUAGGGUGCAAGCGUUGUCCGGAAUUAUUGGGCGUAAAGAGCUCGUAGGCGGUCUGUUGCGUCUGCUGUGAAAACUCAGGGCUUAACCCUGAGCUUGCAGUGGGUACGGGCAGACUAGAGUGCGGUAGGGGAGACUGGAAUUCCUGGUGUAGCGGUGAAAUGCGCAGAUAUCAGGAGGAACACCGGUGGCGAAGGCGGGUCUCUGGGCCGAUACUGACGCUGAGGAGCGAAAGCGUGGGGAGCGAACAGG
rnacentral:rRNA from 1 species